rnacentral:rRNA from 1 species
AUUAAACGCUGGCGGCAUGCCUUACACAUGCAAGUCGAACGGUAGCGCGGGGCAACCUGGCGACGAGUGGCGAACGGGUGAGUAAAGCAUCGGAACGUGCCCUGGAAUGGGGGAUAACGUAGCGAAAGUUACGCUAAUACCGCAUAUUCUGUGAGCAGGAAAGCAGGGGAUCGCAAGACCUUGCGUUCUGGGAGCGGCCGAUGUCGGAUUAGCUAGUUGGUGGGGUAAAAGCCUACCAAGGCGACGAUCCGUAGCGGGUCUGAGAGGAUGAUCCGCCACACUGGGACUGAGACACGGCCCAGACUCCUACGGGAGGCAGCAGUGGGGAAUUUUGGACAAUGGGCGGAAGCCUGAUCCAGCCAUGCCGCGUGAGUGAAGAAGGCCUCGGUUGUUAAAGCUCUUUCGGUGGGGAAGAAAUUGCACGGGUUAAGUACCCUGUGUAGAUGACGGUACCCGACUAAGAAGCACCGGCGUAACUACGUGCCAGCAG